UUGUGGUUGUGGGUUUGUUUGGCAUGAACAUUCACAUCGAGCUCUACGACGGCCAACCCAAACAAUUCUGGGAAACAGUUUCUGGUACGGUAGGAGGUUGCUUGGCUUUAUACCUCAUUGCUAUCGGAUGGGGUAAGAAGAGGAACUUGAUAUAGAAUUUCAUGAGUGGCGUUUGUGUGUUCUGGGGAUCCACUUAUGCAGUUAUGUCACGGUCGGGCCUAGAUUAGUACUUAAUAUUUUUCCGUUGUAGCCAAAUAAAAAAUGGUCUUAAUAUACAGUAUUCACUUACUACUAAGAGUUUACCCGUUUACAUGUCAGUGUUUUAUACAGCUAGUUUUUCUGUUGGUAUUUUGAUUUGAAUUAAUCUUAUUUAAUGAUAAAAAUAAAUAAAUAUAUAUAUAUAAUAUAAAUAUUUCAGAAAAUAAAAUUUUUUUUGAUGAAAAUAAUUUAAAACAUAGCAUAUAUAUACUUCAUAGCAUAUAUAUAUAUAUAUUUAGAACGGUUUUUCUAUGGAAUAAGCACUAAAUUUUAUGAGUUUGGUGCAUUCUUAUUGGUCAUCUAAUCAUAAAUAAGGAUGGCCCCCUGGCCCCCUGCAUUUACACCGAGUCCACCAAUCAAAAUCCACUAAACUCCUCAAAUUUAGUGUAUAAUGUGUGCCCUAGAAAGAUCCUAUUUAGAAUGCACAUAUCUAGGAAACUCCAUAUUAAAUCUGAUAAAAACUGAACACAAAUUUUCAAGUACCUUACCCAUAAUUACCUUACACUGGUCUUGCAAGAUCCCAACACCUUAAACGGAAUUUAUUUAAGCGCGGAGGAGCUUUAUUUUGUUGCUUUCUGCGGAGGAGACAAAUGUAGAACUAAAUGAGUUUAUUGUAAUACCAAGAAAAACACAUGAAAUUUACACAUAAUUUACCUGCUUGGUGUUUCCAUUAAAUAUAUGUUCUUCAUCCUUAGUAAAGCAGCGUAGCACCUUUAGGCUGGCUAGUCAAGCGAGGGUGUCCAAGAAAUCUAAGCAUCAAUCAACUUAUUUAAGUUCUUUUUUGUAAAAAAGAAUAUGAGAAACUAAAAAUAUUUACUUAUUCUAACGAUUUAUUUUUAUUUUUAAAUUUUAUUUCAAAAAGGUAUAAAAUUAUUUAGAAGAUAAUUAAUAUUUUAUUAUUAUAUUAAUAAUUUUAUAAAUAAUAAUUUGUAAAACCAAAAAAAUUAUUCAAAUUCAUAAAUUAAAAAUUACUAUUCAUUUAUAAAUAUUCUCUCAGUUUGGACUCUUGACUUCUCUAUACGUACUGGUAGGAGUUUUGACUGCAUUAUUAAAAUUAUUAUUUUUAAAAUUUUCUUUUUGUUAAUAAAAUAUUAGUAUCAUAUUUUUAUUCAAAAAAUAAUUUUAAAGCAAUAUAUUUAAGUGUAGAGUUUAAAAAUAAGAUAUUUAAAUGUAGUGUCAAAAUACGUAAAAUAAAGUAAAAAAGCUAACAUAUCCAAACAUCAAACACUUCUCUUAAAUUAAAAUUAAGUAAAAGUUUUGUAUUCGGAGCAAUUCUCUAAAACUAAAAUUUUACAAUUACCUUUUGCUUGUGAUUNGAGGACUUUAUCAACAUAAUGCUGGAUGACAAGCAGAAUCAGCUUCUACAAAUGGGAGUAAUGCUAAGUACGGGAAACAUGAUACUGAAUGCCGGAAUUGUGGUUGUGGGUUUGUUUGGCAUGAACAUUCACAUCGAGCUCUACGACGGCCAACCCAAACAAUUCUGGGAAACAGUUUCUGGUACGGUAGGAGGUUGCUUGGCUUUAUACCUCAUUGCUAUCGGAUGGGGUAAGAAGAGGAACUUGAUAUAGAAUUUCAUGAGUGGCGUUUGUGUGUUCUGGGGAUCCACUUAUGCAGUUAUGUCACGGUCGGGCC
rnacentral:lncRNA from 1 species